rnacentral:tRNA from 1 species
UCCGAGGUAGCUUAGUAGACAAAGUGCCGGGCUCUGGACCCGGAGAGCGCGGGUGCAAUUCCCGCCCUCGGACC